CCAUUUUGGAAUAAGGCUGUAACAUAAAAUGUGGAAAAAGUGAAGUGCUGUGAAUACUUUCUAGGCGCACUGUAGAUCACAUCACUCCCCUCAUUCCAUGAGUGAUCACAAUGCCAUAUGACUGAUUGCAUCAUUGAUGCGCAUCCUAUAGAAUGGCUUUGACAUUUAAGUGUACAUGACAAGCAAAUAUACUUUAAAACAAAGGCAAUGGUAGCUGAUAUGUGGGGGUCCACUGAUUGUGUCUUCAGUUGUGUUCACAGUGCAAGUUGCUGUAUGUUGUACAUUUUGCUAAUCUCUAUUCAUGUGGUGCAGUCGUGCUGUGUUGUGGUCACCAAAGAAAAGUUCAUUAAUUACAAAUAAGAGGUGCACAACUGUGAACAGACAUGACCCCAUCUUCGUCCACUCUGCACAAAGCACGCACAGCGCAAGUGUGACUGGUUGUGUAUAACUGAUGCAGUUGUGUAAGAAAUGAGUAUAAGGAAAUGUUGGAGCUUUCCUAUUGUGCAGCAUCAGAACACAACUGCACCAUCGACCACCAACAGCCUGGUCUAAAGUCUGUUUGCAUGGUGCAAUAUUCAGAUACGACUUACAUAGGCAGGUUCACUCUUCUUGUACACACAGCAAUUUAAUUGGAUUCAAUUUAUUUACACAGCACUAAAUCAUAACACAAAGUGUCCUCCAAAAGUAUUGGGCCACUUGAUAUUUCACACAUUUGUUUAUGCAAUUUCAAAUACAAAAAGUAAAUCAGAUGUCUCAAUAUAACAAUUUCUAAAAUUAUCUAAUACACAACUUCUUAAACUCUGUUUUGCCAGAUUUGUCAGUUAUUUUUCCUUCUUCCAGGGUUGAUGGCAUUCAACAGUAUCCAGGGCAGUUGGGAUUGAUUGAUUGAUUGAUUGGAGGAGGUUGAGGAGCAGGUGGUGUUUCAGAAUGAAAUGCUUAAAUGUUUCACCUCAGGGAGCUGUGGUGGAUGACUGCUGCUCCUGUAAAUGAUGACUUUGAUGCUUUGCUCACAGAUUCUUGUCAUUGUCAAAAAAACCUCUCACUUCUAAGUCCAUCAUCUGAAAAGCAAUGUGUCCUGAAGGAGAUAUCAGUCUUAUGGUUUAUUUCAUGUUUGAUCCAAAACACACCCGUGAAUAAUUACGUGUCUAAAUACAAGCCCAUUUGCAGCAAGCAUGUUAAUUUGCACCCAGAUUACACGCUGUGGAUAUAGCAAAAUGGAGUUGGACACACCCCAAAUGCACUUGUACUGUGCACUUUAGACUGUGCACUGUAGAUUGUUGCUCCUGGUGUGUAGUAAGCACCUUGUAUGGCAGCACCCUCACAUCGGAGUGAAUGUGAGGCAUUAUUGUAAAGCACUCUGAGCGUCUGAUGCAGAUGGAAAAGCUCUAUAUAAAUGCAGUCCAUUUACUAUGACAGGGCCCUCAGCUACAUAGCACAGAGACUGGGAUUCUGGACAACUGCCCCUACACACAAUCACAUACAAACACUCUAUAUUUGAAGUAUACUGAGUCUCCAAAUCACAAAUAUUAAAACCACUCACCACUGAGGUGACAAAAUUUAAUUUGGUUCAAACUUAAUUUCAUUGCUUUUUUUAAUGAAUGUAUUCAUUUAGAUUAAAGCCAAAUUAAGUGAAAUUAUUUCACACCAUUGUUAUAAAUAAGCUGAUGUGUGAUGUUACACUGUUUAAGUGACAAUUUGUUUUUUUUUUGUUUUGUUUUUUGUUUUUUUUGCAGUGGGAAAAUGGAAGAGUCUUAAAUGCCAAGAGUGAGAAAAGUCUCUGGUGUUGUGAGUCGAAACCUUACUAGUCUAGGACCUAGCUUAGAUAUGUGUGCACAUCAUUUAGGAGAGGAUAACUCAACUGUUCUCGAUGAAUAUGACCUCACUGAACAACUAUAUGUGAUAUGUGCCAAAAUCUCUGUCCAGGUUGAACAGGCCUAAAAUUACGCCCUUUUUUGUCCAGAGUGUUACUUUAAAUACAGCUGUAUUUUCUAAACUGCAGCAGCUACAGAUUUUCCAAGGUAUUCAAAAUGUUCAGAAUGACCAGUACAUGUUUAGAGGAGUUAUAGAGGAGUUAUAGAAGAGUGUAAAAUUUCAAAUUUUGAUAUUUUAAGAGAAAACCACUAAAAACCAUUUGGUCAAAUGACCUAUACAUUGUCCGGAAUCACCACAAAUUUAGUGACUUAAACUUUCUGGGCUAUUGGCUGUUGGGAAAUUUACCUGAUAAUCUUUAACAUAUUUAAGAUCUCUAGAUACUGCUGUCUGCUAAAGAAACAAUUUUUUGUUUUGUAUUUUUCACUUUAAAUCGGUAUUGAAUGAAUGAAUACUAUGUUCCAUUGAUAGCAGUAUGAUUGAAAAUAAAAUUUCAUUAUAUUUGGACCCCCUUAUUUUAGCCAUUUUCUCUUAAAAUAAUUUUACCCUUUUCUAUGACCCUUCUAAACAUGUACUGGUCAUUCUGAACAUUUUGAACACCUUAGAAAAUCUAUAGUUGCUGCAUUGUAGAAAAUACAGCUGUAUUUGAAGCAACACUCCGGAUGAAAAAGGACAUGGUCAUUUCCGGGUUGGUCGCCCUGGAUAGAGAUUUUGGCACAUAUCUCAAGUUGUUCAUUGGGGUCAUAUUAGUCCAGAACAGUUGAGUUAUCCUCUCCUAAAUGAUGUGCACACAUGUCUCAGCUAGAUCCUCUACUAGCAAAAUCACCAGUGUUAAAUUAACACUGAUAGUGUACAUAUGGUCCCACUCUGGCCAGAGUAGGACCAUAUGUACAAUGGCAGUGUUAAUUUAACACUGGUGCACCGGGGUGACACAAUAGUCUUAAUUUAUCAUUUAUGGUGAUGGUAAUUUUGUACUUGCUUGUGACACUGUUGCCGAAACAGUCUUAUGCCAGAGUUUCAAUUGCCAUUUGUUCUUUUGUUGUAUUUUAUUUUUUCCCCCCACAUUUAAAGACUCUAUUUCAGAUCCACAUGCAGCUUUACGGAAACAAAUGAUUUGAACAAAACGGGGAUUUGUUAAUCUGAUCAAAGAUGUAAUUUGCAUCAUAUGAAGUAUGCUGACAAAAAAAAAUUCCACUUAUUUGGUUGUAAAACAUGGAUCAUUUAUACCUGCUGCCCGACGCACAUCUGCACUUCCAAUUGUCUAAAAGUCAACAUGUCAAAACUCAAAAAGAUGGAACAGGUUUACUUUUGAUUUAUUCCAACCUCAGCAGCAAAGGAUGAAAUAUGGUGAAGUAUUGGGGGCAUUAGUUGGAACACGGAAAAAGCCUGAAAGUAAACCUGAUAACAGAGUCCUGGAAAAAAAGCUAAAGAUGCUUAUACCGUCACGCUCAAAAAAUGUAAAUGUAAUCAAAGCCAUACUUCCACUGCGAGUUCUGUCAAGCUAAAAUAAGCCAUGGUAUUUUUUUUUUUUUUUUAUCAUUUGUAAGUUAAAGUUUUAUUUUAAUCUGAUUUUACUGAUGUUCAUAUCAUUAUUGUUAAACAUUAAUAUGUUGAAUUAUGUGUGUACAUACAGUAUGUCACAGUGUUCGUGUAUUUACUUUCCAUGUGAUGGAUUUGAAAAUGAAACAGUUUAUUAAAACUAAUGAAGGUAUUCCUGCUGCCGUCCCGACAAACCGGACACAGUCAACUUUUCCCUCUUUUUCCACUUCCACCUUUUUGGUUGUGUUAACACUCUGUGUGCAUGUCCUCCUUCACUUUAACUUUUUUUUUUUUAAUUGAGCCACCUAUUUAUUUAACAUGAAAAACAUGGGUGUGGAGACCACUCUUUAGUUUGUGUCCACAUAAGCGUGUGUGUGUGUGUGUGUGUGUGUGUGUGUGUGUGUGUGUGUGUGUGUGUGUGUGUGUGUGUGUGUGUGUGUGUGUGUGUGUGUGUGUGUGUGUGUGUGUGUGUGUGUUUUACAGCUGAGGUGUGAUUGUUUUAUAUAUAAGUACCAGUAAAUAGAGGGUUUCAUUAAGGGUAAACUGAAAUUGAAGCACUUGUCCAGCAGCAGUACCGAUGACUUUAGUGUGGUUUGUCUGCGUUCAGGCCUUUACGAUCUGCAGUGGUGUCUUCAUUCACACGUGAUUGAUCAGCAGUAUCAUUGUGGAAAGGAAGAAUAGAAACUACUGUAAAGAUGAUUGUUUUUAUUAUUAUUAUUUUGAACUUUGAAGUGUAAAAUAACUUUUUGACUCAGUAUAUUUAAUUAAAGUUCUUUCUUCUGUGUGAAAA